UUAAGCAUAUUACUAAGCAGAAGAAAAGAAACUAACAAGGAUACUGUCCGUAAUGGCGAAUGAACACUGUUUUACCAUUAUUGAACCUUACAUCUGAUCGAUGUAUGGAGUGUAAUAUUGGUGUGAAUCGUUUUGAAAGUCGGGGUACUGAAAGUUUGACUGAUUGCAACUUUUCAUAGAGGGUGAAAGUCCCGUAUCUGUACCUAACGACUCUCAUAUGUUUCACGCAUGAGUAAAGUUGUUUCAAACUGCAGCUUGAAUAUACGUGGUGAACUCCAUGUAAGACUGAAUAUUGUCGCGAGACCGAUAGCAAACAAGUACCGUGAGGGAAAGUUGAAAAGUACUCUGAAAAGAGAGUGAACAAGCCUGUGCAACUGUACAUUGCAAAGCGAAUGACAGAAAGUGCAAACUCGUUAUCCCACUUCUUGUUUGUUCGUAUAUGGUGUUUUACCUUUAAAGAGCAACAAGUCUGUUGGUUUGGGAGUUUUGCUCAUGUAAUGCCAACCGAGAACGGUGUGUAACAAGCGAAUAAGUAUUUUUCUAUGCUUGUUGUUUGUUACGGUUUAGUGUGUUAUACACUUUAACGGAUAUGGUUGGUAUUUUUCACAUACAUGAUAUUUAUUCAGGUACGCAUGAUUUGUGUAUAGAAUUGUCGAGUUUGAUUGGUGCAUGAGCUGUGUUAUCUGUCAUCCGAACCGUCUUGAAACACGGACCAAGGAGUUCAACUUGAGCGCAAGUCGACUUCAUGAUAAACGGUUGAGGCGCAGUGAAAGCAAUCAUGCAAUGAAUGUUAACGGAUGUUGAUUUGAAGCUGACGGUUAGCACAUGAUCUGGGUGGCAAUUAUUUUUCGCCUACUGCAACUGAGCGCUUAGGUUGUGACC
rnacentral:rRNA from 1 species